AAGCCCUUACCAGUCAGCCUGUUCAAAGAUUUUGGGUGAGCUUAUGCUGAAGUCCUUAGACAGGCAGGUCUGGUGCCUGGAUCAGCAGGUGCUGUCAUCCCUCACUUGGAAUUCUUAGCUCUUGUGAAGAUAUUCUUAUGAAUGGAUAAUUGUUCAGAUUGAUGUGUCUGGGAGGGUGAAUGGAAAAGUCACAGUCAUACUUGGUUAACAUUUGCAUAAAGACUCACUGAAUCGCUGGCACCAGGAACCAGAAAAUAUUGAGUGUCAGGAAGUCCCAACC